UUAAACCAUGAUGGCAUGAUCCGAGACAUUCUGAGUGGUUAAAACCACGGUAUUGUUAGAUUACUACUCGAGUAGGUAAUGACACAAUGUUGUUCAACAAUUGUUUAAAUUAUAAUUUAAUUUAGGGAAUUAACUUGGUCUGUUGGGCACGGUCACACACCAUUUAUAAAAUAUCGAGGGAACAAGAACUUAUCCCGGGGGAGGCAGUCGUCCGCUCUUGCCUUCCCACUUGGCGCCGUCCCUGCAAUCUACCCACACUCGUCAACCACGACCGUUGCGCUAGCAUUUUCUAGAAAUGUUAUUCUAUCGCUGUCAUCGACUAUAGGCCUGCAAUACAUUGCUAUUAAAAUAUUAGCAUAAUAUGCGGACGCGGAUGGUGUCGGAUCAUUUCCCGAUUAUUCACGAUGUGUGAUUCCUUUUUUUAUUAGGUCAAUUCACUCUUAUAUAUCAAAACUAACAGCACGCUAUGGAAACUGGUAAACGAAAAUUUGCUAUGUGGUACGUGUGUAAAACGAAGACAACGCUUACGGAUACGACAGUCCUUUUAAGACUAAGUAAUUGAACGUUAAAGCCUACAUCGCAGUACUUAUAUGUAUCAUAUUUAAAAUAAAAUAUAUUUUAUAAACACGA